GGCUCAGAACGAACGCUGGCGGCAGGCUUAACACAUGCAAGUCGAACGCCCCGCAAGGGGAGUGGCAGACGGGUGAGUAACACGUGGGAACAUGCCCAAAGGUACGGAACAACUCCGGGAAACUGGAGCUAAUACCGUAUGUGUCCGCAAGGAGAAAGAUUUAUCGCCUUUGGAUUGGCCCGCGUCGGAUUAGCUAGUUGGUGGGGUAAAAGCCUACCAAGGCGACGAUCCGUAGCUGGUUUGAGAGAACGACCAGCCACACUGGGACUGAGACACGGCCCAGACUCCUACGGGAGGCAGCAGUGGGGAAUCUUGGACAAUGGGCGCAAGCCUGAUCCAGCCAUGCCGCGUGGAUGAUGAGGGCCUUAGGGUUGUAAAAUCCUUUCGUUGGGGACGAUAAUGACGGUACCCAAAGAAGAAGCUCCGGCUAACUUCGUGCCAGCAGCCGCGGUAAUACGAAGGGGGCUAGCGUUGUUCGGAUUUACUGGGCGUAAAGCGCGUGUAGGCGGGCUGGAAAGUUGGGGGUGAAAUCCCGAGGCUCAACCUCGGAACUGCCUCCAAAACUUCCAGCCUGGACUCAAGCAGAGGCAAGUGGAAUUGCGAGUGUAGAGGUGAAAUUCGUAGAUAUUCGCAGGAACACCAGUGGCGAA
rnacentral:rRNA from 1 species